UCGUGGUUUCUGGGAGAAGGGUCGAAUUCAAUCUCCUAAAUUGUUUCAAGCUAUGAGUCAUCUAAACGUAUUAAAAGACACUGGAAUGGAGGCUGUAGAAAAGUGGUGCGGCCCCUCAAUGGACCAUGGAGAUGACAAAACAUGAGUCCUGAAUGAAUUUCUAAAAGGAGUUAGUUAUAAGGAAGCUGUGAGCAACAUGUGAAGGAAUCUGGUCACAAAGUCUGUUGUUCAGGUAAAUCCUGGAUUCAGAAAUGCCGUGUAGACUAUGGGGGGAGGCAUGCUAUCCUAAGGACCUGCACUUGCUUGUAGUGCUGGUUCUCCAAGUGCAUGCCAGAACAUUGGGUGGUCUUUGACUGUUGUGGCCCCUCUGUGCUGUCAGCAGCCACUCAACUGUCCAACAAAUGCACUGUUUCAAUAUAGUUGACACAUUUCUCAGUUGUAACCCUAGGCUAAUUUUUUUUUUAAUAGAAUUACAAGGAGGUUUAAAGACUGGCAUGAACCUGUCCCCUACUAGCCCAAUUUCGAGGUCCUGGGAGGGGAGGAUAUCUGGAUGAAGUGCUCAAGAUGAUCAAAUUGUUUGACAUCUCACCAUUUCUAGAAAGUGUAAUGAGAUGAGAUCAAUAAACUCAUGACUGCAA